rnacentral:rRNA from 1 species
GACGAACACUGGCGGCGCGCUUAACACAUGCAAGUCGAACGGAAAGGCCUGCUUUCCCUUGUGGAUUGCGGGUACUCGAGUGGCGAACGGGUGAGUAACACGUGAGUGAUCUGCCCCCAACUUGGGUAUAAGCCUGGGAAACUGGGUCUAAUUCCCGAUAGGACUGCAGGGUGGUGCCUGUGGUGGAAAACGAUUUUCUAGUGGUUGGGGAUGAGCUCGCGGCCUAUCAGCUUGUUGGUGGGGUAAUGGCCUACCAAGGCGGCGACGGGUAGCCGGCCUGGGAGGGUGGACGGCCACAUUGGGACUGAGAUACGGCCCAGACUCCUACGGGAGGCAGCAGUGGGGAAUAUUGCGCAAUGGGCGGAAGCCUGAUGCAGCGACGCCGCGUGGGGGAUGACGGCCUUCGGGUUGUAAACUCCUUUCGACCGCGAGGAAGCCACCUGGUUGGAAGGGUGGUGACGGUAGUGGUAGAAGAAGCACCGGCUAACUACGUG